GAUGAACGCUGGCGGCGUGCCUAAUACAUGCAAGUCGAGCGAACAGACUAGGAGCUUGCUCCUCUGACGUUAGCGGCGGACGGGUGAGUAACACGUGGAUAACCUACCUAUAAGACUGGGAUAACUUCGGGAAACCGGAGCUAAUACCGGAUAAUAUAUUGAACCGCAUGGUUCAAUAGUGAAAGACGGUUUUGCUGUCACUUAUACAUGGAUCCGCGCCGCAUUAGCUAGUUGGUAAGGUAACGGCUUACCAAGGCAACGAUGCGUAGCCGACCUGAGAGGGUGAUCGGCCACACUGGAACUGAGACACGGUCCAGACUCCUACGGGAGGCAGCAGUAGGGAAUCUUCCGCAAUGGGCGAAAGCCUGACGGAGCAACGCCGCGUGAGUGAUGAAGGUCUUCGGAUCGUAAAACUCUGUUAUUAGGGAAGAACAAAUGUGUAAGUAACUAUGCACGUCUUGACGGUACCUAAUCAGAAAGCCACGGCUAACUACGUG
rnacentral:rRNA from 1 species